CUCUAGAGACAUUCAAAUGAAGCUUCUGUAGUUGCUUUUUGGCAGACUUUACAUGUGUGCUGCAGAGUUGAUGGAAUCUUCUGAAUUUCACACAUUAGAAAAGCUGAUGCUGUAGCCCAAGUCUUCAUGCUGAUCCUGAAAUAUUCAAGAAGAAUUCGUAUUAACUCCA
rnacentral:lncRNA from 1 species